rnacentral:rRNA from 1 species
AGUGAACGCUGGCGGUAGGCCUAACACAUGCAAGUCGAACGGCAGCACAGUAAGAGCUUGCUCUUACGGGUGGCGAGUGGCGGACGGGUGAGGAAUACAUCGGAAUCUACUUUUUCGUGGGGGAUAACGUAGGGAAACUUACGCUAAUACCGCAUACGACCUACGGGUGAAAGCAGGGGAUCUUCGGACCUUGCGCGAUUGAAUGAGCCGAUGCCGGAUUAGCUAGUUGGCGGGGUAAAGGCCCACCAAGGCGACGAUCCGUAGCUGGUCUGAGAGGAUGAUCAGCCACAUUGGCACUGAGACACGGUCCAGACUCCUACGGGAGGCAGCAGUGGGGAAUAUUGGACAAUGCGCGCAAGCCUGAUCCAGCCAUACCGCGUGGGUGAAGAAGGCCUUCGGGUUGUAAAGCCCUUUUGUUGGUAAAGAACAGCAGCAGGUUAAUACCCCGCUGUUCUGACGGUACCCAAAGAAUAAGCACCGGCUAACUUCGUG